rnacentral:rRNA from 1 species
GACGAACGCUGGCGGCGUGCUUAACACAUGCAAGUCGAACGGAAAGGCCCUGCUUUUGUGGGGUGCUCGAGUGGCGAACGGGUGAGUAACACGUGAGUAACCUGCCCUUGACUUUGGGAUAACUUCAGGAAACUGGGGCUAAUACCGGAUAGGAGCUCCUGCUGCAUGUUGGGGGUUGGAGAGUUUCGGCGGUUGGGGAUGGACUCGAGGCUUAUCAGCUUGUUGGUGGGGUAGUGGCUUACCAAGGCUUUGACGGGUAGCCGGCCUGAGAGGGUGACCGGCCACAUGGGGACUGAGAUACGGCCCAGACGCCUACGGGAGGCAGCAGUGGGGAAUAUUGCACAAUGGGCGGAAGCCUGAUGCAGCAACGCUGCGUGCGGGAUGACGGGCUUCGGGUUGUAAACCGCUUUCGCCGGUGACGAAGCGGGAGUGACGGUAAUGGGUAAAGAAGCACCGGCUAACUACGUG